rnacentral:lncRNA from 1 species
CAACAUGAAGGUUUGUAAUAAAAAUUUGUUUCUAUCAGCAUUGCUUUGCAUUGCUGUUGCAGGAGUUUUGGGUCAAGCUCCUAGUAAUCCUCCUACGUCUACGCCGGCGCCACCCACACCACCGGCUUCUACUCCUCCUCCGACGACUCAAGCACCGCCUACACCAACCGCCACUCCGCCACCGGUUUCUACUCCUCCUCCCACUUCAUCACCGCCCCCAGUGACAGCUUCUCCACCCCCAGUUUCAACUCCUCCACCCAGUUCUCCUCCUCCUGCAACUCCACCACCUGCUUCUCCUCCUCCUGCAACUCCACCUCCAGCUUCUCCACCUCCUGCCACUCCUCCACCAGCUUCUCCACCUCCCGCCACUCCACCACCUGCAACCCCACCGCCAGCAACUCCUCCUCCUGCUACCCCACCACCAGCUCCAUUGGCUUCUCCUCCAGCCACAGUCCCAGCUAUCUCUCCAGUACAAACACCAUUGACAUCGCCACCAGCUCCGCCGACCGAGGCCCCAGCACCUACCCUCGGGG